CCCCUGAGGACAUGUCAUGUGAGUCCACAUUCAGACGCAGGACAGGAGGUGAGAUCCAGGCCCAGGCUCUCCACCAUUAUGGUCACUGCCUUUCCCACCUUUCCCUGUCAAAGAAACCAUGAUUAGACAGCCAAAGUGUCUUCCAGAUGAGGAGAGAAUUUUCAAAGGAGUGCCUCAUGCCAGUGAUUUAUAAAUGAGCCGGGACUCUUUCAUCUAAAUCAUU